rfam:Homo sapiens chromosome 22, GRCh38 reference primary assembly.
ACUGGGCAUGGUGGCACAUGCCUGUAGUCCCAGUUACUUGGGAGGCCGAGAUGGGAGGAUAGCUUGAGCCCAGGAAGUUGAGGCUGCAGUGAGCCUGGACUGCACCACUGCACUCCAGCCUGGGUGACAGAGCAAGAUCCUAUCUUUU